rnacentral:rRNA from 1 species
AACAAGCCCGAUCCCAUCUGAUCUUGGAAGCUAAGCAGGGUUGGGCUUGGUUAGUACUUGGAUGGGAGACCACCUAGGAAGACCAGGUGCUGUAGGCA